rnacentral:misc_RNA from 1 species
GAUGAAGAACGUAGCGAAAUGCGAUAAGUAAUGUGAAUUGCAGAAUUCAGUGAAUCAUCGAGUCUUUGAACGCACAUUGCGCCCCCUGGUAUUCCGGGGGGCAUGCCUGUCCGAGCGUCAUUGCCGCCCUCAAGCACGGCUUGUGUGUUGGGCCCCCGCCCCCCGGCUUCGGGGGGCGGGCCCGAAAGGCAGCGGCGGCACCGCGUCCGGUCCUCGAGCGUAUGGGGCUUCGUCACCCGCUCUGUAGGCCCGGCCGGCGCCCGCCGGCGACCCCAAUCAAUCUUUCCAGGUUGACCUCGGGUCAGGUAGGGAUACCCGCUGAACUUAAGCAUAUCAAUAAGCGGAGGA